AUGAACGCUGGCGGCGUGCCUAAUACAUGCAAGUCGAGCGGUAACACUUCGGGUGACGAGCGGCGGACGGCAGAGUAACGCGUAGGAACGUACCCCAGAGUGAGGAAUAACUGCCCGAAAGGGUAGCUAAUACCGCAUAAUCUCUUCGGAGGCAAAGCUUCGGCGCUUUGGGAACGGCCUGCGUAUGAUUAGCUUGUUGGUAAGGUAAUGGCUUACCAAGGCGAUGAUCAUUAGCUGGUCUGAGAGGAUGAUCAGCCUGACUGGGACUGAGACACGGCCCAGACUCCUACGGGAGGCAGCAGUAGGGAAUUUUCCACAAUGGGCGAAAGCCUGAUGGAGCAACGCCGCGUGCAGGAUGAAGGCCUUCGGGUUGUAAACUGCUUUUGUUAGUGACGAUUAUGACGGUAGCUAACGAAUAAGGGUCUGCUAACUACGUGCCAGCAGCCGCGGUCAUACGUAGGACCCAAGCGUUAUCCGGAAUUACUGGGCGUAAAGAGUUGCGUAGGUGGCAGAGUAAGUAGGUAGUGAAAGCGUGUGGCUCAACCACAUAGACAUUACCUAAACUGCUCAGCUAGAGGACGAGAGAGGUAGAUGGAAUUCCCAGUGUAGGAGUGAAAUCCGUAGAUAUUGGGAGGAACACCGAUGGCGUAGGCAGUCUACUGGCUUGUUCCUGACACUAAGGCACGAAAGCGUGGGGAGCGAACGGGAUUAGAUACCCCGGUAGUCCACGCCGGUAAACGAUGGAUGCUAGCUGUUAUCAGUAUCGACCCUGGUAGUAGCGAAGCUAACGCGUUAAGCAUCCCGCCUGUGGAAGUACGGCCGCAAGGCUAAAAACAUAAAGGAAUUGACGGGGACCCGCACAAGCGGUGGAGCGUGUUGUUUAAUUCGAUGCAAAGCGAAGAACCUUACCAGGGCUUGACAUCCUACUAAGUUUUCCGAAAGGAAAAUGUGUCUUCGGACCGUAGAGACAGGUGCUGCAUGGCCGUCGUCAGCUCGUGUCGUGAGAUGUUUGGUUAAGUCCAUCAACGAGCGCAACCCUUUUGUCCAGUUGUAUUUCUCUGGACAGACUGCCCCGGUAACGGGGAGGAAGGAGGGGAUGAUGUCAGGUCAGUAUUGCCCUUACGUCCUGGGCUACAAACACGCUACAAUGGCUGGUACAAAGGGCCGCCAAGUCGCAAGACGGAGCAAAUCCCAUCAAAACCAGUCUCAGUUCGGAUUGCAGGCUGAAACUCGCCUGCAUGAAGCUGGAAUCGCUAGCAACGGUAGGUCAGCAUUACUACCGUGAAUACGUUCCCGGGUCUUGUACACACCGCCCGUCAAGUCAUGAAAGUCAUCAAUACCUGACGUCUCGCUUUAUGCGGGCCUAGGGUAGGGGUGAUGAUUGGGACU
rnacentral:rRNA from 1 species